UUAAUUGAAGAGUUUGAUCAUGGCUCAGAUUGAACGCUGGCGGCAGGCUUAACACAUGCAAGUCGAGCGGUAGCACAGGGGAGCUUGCUCCCCGGGUGACGAGCGGCGGACGGGUGAGUAAUGUCUGGGAAACUGCCUGAUGGAGGGG
rnacentral:rRNA from 1 species